GUAGCUCAAUUGGUAGAGCAACUGACUUGUAAUCAGUAGGUUGGGGGUUCAAGUCCUCUCGUCGGCA
rnacentral:tRNA from 1 species